rnacentral:rRNA from 1 species
AUACGUAGGGGGCGAGCGUUGCCCGGAAUGAUUGGGCGUAAAGGGCGCGUAGGCGGCGCGGUAAGUCUGGAGUGAAAGUCCUGCUUUCAAGGUGGGAAUUGCUUUGGAUACUGCCGCGCUUGAGUGCAGGAGAGGUUAUCGGAAUUCCCGGUAUAGCGGUGAAAUGCGUAGAGAUCGGGAGGAACACCAGUGGCGAAGGCGGGUAACUGGACUGCAACUGACGCUGAGGCGCGAAAGUGUGGGGAGCAAACAGGAUUAGAUACCCUGGUAGUCCACACUGUAAACGAUGAAUGCUAGGUGUAGGGGGUAUCGACCCCUUCUGUGCCGCAGUCAACACAAUAAGCAUUCCGCCUGGGGAGUACGGCCGCAAGGUUGAAACUCAAAGGAAUUGACGGGG